rnacentral:rRNA from 1 species
GUGGGGAAUUUUGGACAAUGGGCGCAAGCCUGAUCCAGCAAUGCCGCGUGCAGGAAGAAGGCCUUCGGGUUGUAAACUGCUUUUGUCAGGGAAGAAAUCUUCUGGGCUAAUACCCCGGGAGGAUGACGGUACCUGAAGAAUAAGCACCGGCUAACUACGUGCCAGCAGCCGCGGUAAUACGUAGGGUGCGAGCGUUAAUCGGAAUUACUGGGCGUAAAGCGUGCGCAGGCGGCUUUGCAAGACAGAUGUGAAAUCCCCGGGCUCAACCUGGGAACUGCAUUUGUGACUGCAAGGCUAGAGUACGGCAGAGGGGGAUGGAAUUCCGCGUGUAGCAGUGAAAUGCGUAGAUAUGCGGAGGAACACCGAUGGCGAAGGCAAUCCCCUGGGCCUGCACUGACGCUCAUGCACGAAAGCGUGGGGAGCAAACAGGAUUAGAAACCCGAGUAGUCC